GCAAACUUGGUCAUUUAGAGGAAGUAAAAGUCGUAACAAGGUUUCCGUAGGUGAACCUGCGGAAGGAUCAUUAACCUUUCAAAUCAGGGUGCGUCGCGGCCCCCGAGGAGCGGAAACAAUCCUUGGGAGGUUUGCGGAGUCUUCGGACCCCUUAACGCACGCACGACUGCCAUCCUUACUUUACGAGCACCUUCUGUUCUCCCUCGGCGGGGCAACCUGCCGUUGGAACCGAAUAAACUCUUUUUGCAUCUAGCAUUACCUGUUCCGAAACAAACAAUCGUUACAACUUUCAACAAUGGAUCUCUUGGCUCUGGCAUCGAUGAAGAACGCAGC
rnacentral:misc_RNA from 1 species